AAAAAGGGCUUUUGCUGUUUUCAGCACAUCGUGGACUCCUUUUAGGAGUUCGUGGUGCGGAAUCGUCAUCAAGAGAUUUCGAAGGCAUAAUUUUUGUAAAUCGGACUGCCUGUGAUCGUUAUUCCGGGCGUCCUC